rnacentral:tRNA from 18 species
UAGCUCAGCUGGGAGAGCACCUCCCUUACAAGGAGGGGGUCGGCGGUUCGAUCCCGUCAUCACCCACCA